rnacentral:rRNA from 1 species
GAUGAACGCUGGCGGCAUGCCUAAGACAUGCAAGUCGAACGAGAUGGCCCAAAGAAUUUGAUAGAAGUGUUAAGAGCUUGCUCAAGACAUGGAAAGAGAAGGAAGUGGAAACUCCAUCUAGUGGCAAACGGGUGAGUAACACGUGGGUUACCUACCUCUCAGACGGGGAUACCAAUUGGAAACGAUUGUUAAUACCGGAUACGAUCUAAGGAGGAAAGGGAGCUUUCGGGCUUCGCUGAGAGAUGGGCCUGCGGUGCAUUAGAUAGUUGGUGGGGUAAGAGCCUACCAAGUCAACGAUGCAUAGCUGAACUGAGAGGUUGAACGGCCACACUGGGACUGAGACACGGCCCAG